rnacentral:rRNA from 1 species
UACGUAGGGGGCAAGCGUUGUCCGGAUUUAUUGGGCGUAAAGAGCGUGUAGGCGGCCAUGCAGGUCCGUUGUGAAAACUCGAGGCUCAACCUCGAGACGCCGGUGGAAACCGUGUGGCUAGAGUCCGGAAGAGGAGAGUGGAAUUCCUGGUGUAGCGGUGAAAUGCGCAGAUAUCAGGAGGAACACCGGUGGCGAAGGCGGUCUCUGGGCCGAUGACUGACGCUGAGGAGCGAAAGCGUGGGGAGCGAACAGG